rnacentral:lncRNA from 1 species
CGGACUCCCCAAUUCACGAACGUUCCAGCUUAGAAUUUUCAUGGCUUUCGGACGGCUUACCCAUUGGUAGCCGCCGAUACAAUAUCAAAAUGAGCUAAUUGCCCAUCUUUAACGAAUCUUGGGUUUUGGAAACAUUAGAAAUCCUUUCCCCAAACCUCUGUCGUUUCUUAUUCUCUUCGAUGGAAAUUGCCUCUUCCUCUA